AAGUCUACGAAUGCUCAGUCUCCCUCUUCUCUCUCUCUCUUCCCUCCUUUCCUUACUCCCUCUCCCCUAGCCCCCCUCUCCUGACUUUUCAGAAUCUCUUGACUCUUCAAACCCAGAGAAUCUUAACUAAUGGUCUCCAGAGUGAGGUGUGGCUGCUCAAAGGCUAAAGGAAAUGUGCAAGGCUGUGGAAUGCUAAGCACAAUAAUAUG
rnacentral:lncRNA from 1 species